UCCUACGGGAGGCAGCAGUGGGGAAUAUUGGGCAAUGGGCGAAAGCCUGACCCAGCGACGCCGUGUGGGCGAUGAAGGCCUUCGGGUUGUAAAGCCCUGUCAGGUGGGAAGAAGGGCUCAGAGACGAAUAAUCUCUGAGUUUUGACGGUACCACCGGAGGAAGCACCGGCUAACUCCGUGCCAGCAGCCGCGGUAAUACGGAGGGUGCGAGCGUUGUUCGGAAUUACUGGGCGUAAAGGGCGCGUAGGUGGUUGUGUAAGUCAGAUGUGAAAUCUCUCGGCUCAACUGAGAAACUGCAUCUGAUACUGCAUGACUAGAGUGCAGCAGAGGGAAACGGAAUUCCUGGUGUAGAGGUGAAAUUCGUAGAUAUCAGGAGGAACACCGGUGGCGAAGGCGGUUUCCUGGGCUGACACUGACACUGAGGCGCGAAAGCGUGGGUAGCAAACAGGAUUAGAUACCCCUGUAGUCCC
rnacentral:rRNA from 1 species